rnacentral:rRNA from 1 species
GAUGAACGCUGGCGGCGUGCCUAAUACAUGCAAGUCGAGCGAACAGACGAGGAGCUUGCUCCCCUGACGUUAGCGGCGGACGGGUGAGUAACACGUGGAUAACCUACCUAUAAGACUGGGAUAACUUCGGGAAACCGGAGCUAAUACCGGAUAAUAUAUUGAACUGCAUGGUUCAAUAGUGAAAGACGGUUUUGCUGUCACUUAUAGAUGGAUCCGCGCCGCAUUAGUUAGUUGGUAAGGUAACGGCUUACCAAGGCAACGAUGCGUAGCCGACCUGAGAGGGUGAUCGGCCACACUGUAACUGAGACACGGUCCAGACUCCUACGGGAGGCAGCAGUAGGGAAUCUUCCGCAAUGGGCGAAAGCUUGACGGAGCAACGCCGCGUGAGUGAUGAAGGUCUUCGGAUCGUAAAACUCUGUUAUUAGGGAAGAACAAAUGUGUAAGUAACUAUGCACAUCUUGACGGUACCUAAUCAGAAAGCCACGGCUAACUACGUG